UCAUAAAAAGUAAAACGAAUGUAAAUUUGUUUGAAUAAAGGGGAACCUUCCUCUAAGACUAAAUAUAAUAUAUAAGCGAUAGCGAAGAGUACCGUGAGGGAAAGAAAAUAAAAAUAGUGAUUUUAUAAGUAGCUCAGGUAGAUUUUAAAAAAUCGAUAAGAGCGUACCUUUUGCAUAAUGGGUCAGCAAGUUAACGUUAGAUGCGAGAGUUUGAAUACAGGAAUCGUUUUUCACACCCCAGUGAAGAACUAAUAUAUAUUGUAUUCAUUUCGUAGAUAAACCGAUUAUUAAACAAUGAGUUAGUAUCUAAUGUUAGACCCGAAACCUAGUGAUCUUACCAUGGUCAGGAGCAAUAAAAAUUGGCAUAGUAUUGUUUAUAUUUAACGCCCAGGCGCUAUAUGUUGUAAUGUGUUAGAACCUCUAUAUAAAUAAUUACCUAAACUGUUACUAUGUUAAUAAUAAAAAGUCCGAACGGGUUAUCGUUGUAAAGAUAUCCGAAGAACUGUGGUAAGUUAGUGAAAGACAAAACUGACUAGGAUAGCUGGUUUUCCGCGAAACCUAUUUAAGUAGGUAAUUCAAAUAACAUCAUAGCAGGUACAGAACUGUGAUCUCAGGCAAAACAUAUACAAAAAGUUAACAAUGUUAACUAGUAUUUUUGCAUACAUCGGGGGGUCGUAGAGACUUUAUCGGUGAGGAUUUGCUCUCGGAAGGGCAAUGAUAUGGUAGAAAAAGUAAGAAAAGAUAUUAGAAGUAAAAGACAAAACGAAAAAUCUUUUUUCUACCUAAUUUUGAAUAAACCGACAUAGAACGCUAAGGUUGUAUGUCUAAAGGGAAACAGCCCAGAACAAGUGUUUAAGGUUCCAAAAUUAUUGUUAAGUGAAAAUAAGGAGGUUUUUAUACGAAUACUACCAGGAAAUAGGCUUAGAAGCGGCCAUUUUUUGAAGACCUCGUAACAGAGCACUGGUUAACUACUAACUUAGAGAACUAGGUUCUCCAAGUUAUAGAUAAAGGCACCGAUAAUAUAACGGAUCUAAACAAUAUACCGAAACCUUGUCUAUAUGUAAUUAUGUAACGUUAGACAUAGUGUCAAGUUCAUAACUAUAUAUUGGGUAGCGGAACGUUGGGUAAGUAGAAGAACUAGUCUUUUUAAGACAGUUUCUCUUGAUUUUGGUUAAGAAUCCAAGAAGAAUAAAACAUCCCAAGUGAUAAUGCUGGCAUGAGUAACGAAAAAAAGGAAAACCCUGCACUAUACAGGGGAAUAAUCCUUUCGCCUAAAGCUUAUGGAAUUAAGAAAGUAACGGCCUCUAAGUUUAUUAACUUUUCCUAAAGGACUAAAUGAUGAGUAAAUUCUUAUUAAUAUACUUCCAACAACAGUGAAGUUAGGGGUUAGCCACAAAGAUGAAGAGAAUCUUUCUCUGUUUAAAGGCGAGCCCGAGCUUUAAAUAUAACUGAGGUUCUGGAAAAAGAUAUUAUUACUAACCGUACCUAGAUUUUACCGCAAGUAAGCUAGUAGAGAAUACGAAGGCGUUUGAGAUAACAAUCAUUAAGGAACUCGGCAAAUUGACACCGUAACUUCGGGAUAAGGUGUGCCAUUUAGAUACCUGUGUACUUUACAGUAUCGUGUUUAAAUAGGAGACAUAAAAAGGUGUUGUACGACUGUUUAAUUAAAACAAAGCACUUUGCAUAAGAUGUUAAGUCAAAGUAUUGAGUGUGAUGUCUGCCC
rnacentral:rRNA from 1 species